rnacentral:rRNA from 1 species
UGGGGAAUUUUGGACAAUGGGCGAAAGCCUGAUCCAGCAAUGCCGCGUGUGUGAAGAAGGCCUUCGGGUUGUAAAGCACUUUUGUCCGGAAAGAAAUCCUUGGCUCUAAUACAGUCGGGGGAUGACGGUACCGGAAGAAUAAGCACCGGCUAACUACGUGCCAGCAGCCGCGGUAAUACGUAGGGUGCAAGCGUUAAUCGGAAUUACUGGGCGUAAAGCGUGCGCAGGCGGUUUGCUAAGACCGAUGUGAAAUCCCCGGGCUCAACCUGGGAACUGCAUUGGUGACUGGCAGGCUAGAGUAUGGCAGAGGGGGGUAGAAUUCCACGUGUAGCAGUGAAAUGCGUAGAGAUGUGGAGGAAUACCGAUGGUGAAGGCAGCCCCCUGGGCCAAUACUGACGCUCAUGCACGAAAAACGUGGGGAGCAAAACAGGAUUAGAUACCCUGGUAGUCCACGCCCUAAAACGAUGUCAACUAGUUGUUGGGGAUUCAUUUCCUUAGUAACGUAGCUAACGCGUGAAGUUGACCGCCUGGGGAGUACGUCGCAAGAUUAAAACUCAAAUGAAUUGACGGGGUCAUAGCUG